UACGUAUGGAGCAAGCGUUAUCCGGAUUUACUGGGUGUAAAGGGUGCGUAGGUGGCAGUGCAAGUCAGAUGUGAAAGGCCGGGGCUCAACCCCGGAGCUGCAUUUGAAACUGCUCGGCUAGAGUACAGGAGAGGCAGGCGGAAUUCCUAGUGUAGCGGUGAAAUGCGUAGAUAUUAGGAGGAACACCAGUGGCGAAGGCGGCUUGCUGGACUGUUACUGACACUGAGGCACGAAAGCGUGGGGAGCAAACAGG
rnacentral:rRNA from 1 species